rnacentral:rRNA from 1 species
UACGUAGGGGGCAAGCGUUGUCCGGAUUUAUUGGGCGUAAAGGGCGCGUAGGCGGCGCGGUAUGUCACCUGUGAAAUCUCCGGGCUCAACUGGGAGCUUGCAGGCGAAACUGCCGUGCUGGAGUGUGGGAGAGGUGCGUGGAAUUCCUGGUGUAGCGGUGAAAUGCGUAGAUAUCAGGAGGAACACCUGUGGCGAAAGCGGCGCACUGGACCACAACUGACGCUGAGGCGCGAAAGCUAGGGGAGCAAACAGG